UAUCGAAUGCUACAUUUACAUUG
rnacentral:tRNA from 2 species